CAGGGCUGGAAGGCAGCAGCAG
rnacentral:SRP_RNA from 14 species